GCAGUAGUAGUUUAAUGGCAGAAUAUUGGCUUGUGGUGCUGAAGACGCGAGUUCGAUUCUCGCCUACUGCC
rnacentral:tRNA from 1 species